rnacentral:sRNA from 1 species
CAAAAAGCAUGAGUUUCAACCUGUUUCCCCGCAGCAAGGAAGAAAAGGAAGCACUGCUGCAGAAUCGUAAUAACAGUAGUAGUGCUCGUCCGGCACCGACGCCGCAAAACACGCAGCGUAAUUUGGGACCAGUUGGGUUGUCGACGGAAA